rnacentral:rRNA from 1 species
CCUUUGUACACACCGCCCGUCGCUACUACCGAUUGAAUGGUUAUAGUGAGCAUAUGGGAUCAGUAGGAUAAGACUGGUAACAGUUUUUUCUUGCAGAGAACUAUGGCAAACUAGGCUAUUUAGAGG